rnacentral:piRNA from 1 species
UGGCCUUAUAGCAAUGUCGUCUGGUAUAGA